AUUGAACGCUGGCGGCAGGCCUAACACAUGCAAGUCGAGCGGCAGCGGGAAAGUAGCUUGCUACUUUUGCCGGCGAGCGGCGGACGGGUGAGUAAUGCCUGGGAAAUUGCCCAGUCGAGGGGGAUAACAGUUGGAAACGACUGCUAAUACCGCAUACGCCCUACGGGGGAAAGCAGGGGACCUUCGGGCCUUGCGCGAUUGGACGAACCCAGGUGGGAUUAGCUAGUUGGUGAGGUAAUGGCUCACCAAGGCGACGAUCCCUAGCUGGUCCGAGAGGAUGAUCAGCCACACUGGAACUGAGACACGGUCCAGACUCCUACGGGAGGCAGCAGUGGGGAAUAUUGCACAAUGGGGGAAACCCUGAUGCAGCCAUGCCGCGUGUGUGAAGAAGGCCUUCGGGUUGUAAAGCACUUUCAGCGAGGAGGAAAGGUUGGUAGCUAAUAACUGCCAGCUGUGACGUUACUCGCAGAAGAAGCACCGGCUAACUCCGUGCCAGCCGCCGCCGUAAAAC
rnacentral:rRNA from 1 species